ensembl:lncRNA LINC02987 long intergenic non-protein coding RNA 2987
GGGCGGGGAGAUCCCAGCUACUAGAGGACGCCCGUUCCAAUGGCAACUCUGCCAAGGCGCCUAUGAGAGCCUCUUGGCUUUUACCUGGUCUGCGAGAAAUCAAACUUUGGGCACAAGUCAUGAAGCCGACAAGCCCGGGAGACACAGUGUCAGAAUUACAAGGUGAGAUCAGCCGCCCGGCCAAGCUAUCUUCUCGCUAGCAGGAACACUACAAGGCCUGUUAGAGAAGAAAGGGUAGAAUCCCGAGAAUGUUUUCCCCACAGUGCUGAUAAGGAGAGACCACUAUCCCAUCUACUGCUACAGCUCUGGAGACAGAGCUCUCCCACCUGUCAUAUAGAACACAAGGACCAAUCUGCAGAGAAAGAGCAUCCAAACCUGAUCCAGUGGACACUGGGGAAAAACUCACCACAGCUGAGUGUGGAAAAACAAGGCCAACACACACAUCUCUGCACAGAUACAUCUCCCAUAAAGAAACUAAAGUGUUAAUUUACAGGGCACUGUUGCAGACCCACUUCAGCUGGAAGCUAGGAACAUGGACAAGGAGCCUCUCUACCACCAAGGGAGAGAGAGGAAUGUGCUCUUGUCCUGGCAUUGCAUCCACAGGAGGGGCAGGAAAUUCUUUGAAGGCUGUCUCAUGGGCCAAGAUGGCUGUAGGACCGUCAGCCUACACCAGCAACCAUGUGCAUUUCAAAGAUCAAGAAGGAGGAAAGAUGCAAGGUCAAAGUGGCUCACACAGCUGUGUCAGCCUCAUCUGAACAGUCUCCCCAAAGUCCCGUCAAUACUUCUGGUUACACCCAAUUGUCUUGAAUGUUUUCUAGUCAUUAUUAGCUUCAAUAGGGGUCAGGAACUAUAACCAUUGUGUAUGGUAAGUUGCUGUUUGAAUAAAACUGAAUCUCUGUCUUUAAGAAUGAAAGAAAAAUAAAAACUAUGGCAAUAACCAGUGCUCUUUUUCUGCACUAAAUUCAAAGAUAACAAGGAGAAAAUGGAGUUUGUCUCAGGUGAAGUGGCACUUAUUUUCCAAGCAAAGCCUCUUUUGGUGUUUAUUUAUUUUCAGAUCAGAUGGGAAAAAGUCUUGGUUCUGACAAGCACUCUUUUUAUGACCAAAGGUUAGUUAAGCUUAACUUAACUCUCUUCUUGACUUAGUCAACCUUGGCUUGUUGCCCUGCUCCUGGUCUGAGAAGCUUAUUUUCAGAAAUGCUGCUAAGAUUGCUUAGUAAAAAUCCACAUAUUUUUUACAUCUACUAAAAUCCUCAUUCCCCUUCCCUGAUAUUUAAGUCCUUAGCCUGCCUGUAAACAGAAUUCUGUUACAAAAAAAAAUUCCUCCUCCUUUGGUAUUUUAUCAAAUUUAUUUCAGUAAUUUUUUAUCCACUGAUUUAUUUGCUUAUUGAUUAUAAAUCCUGAGUUGUCUGUGUUCAGAGUUAUGAUCGAUUUCUGAACCGUAUUACAAUGGCCAUAACAUCUACUGCAAUAGUGUUAAAGUCUUUCUUCCGAAUUUUUAACAAAUGUCAUAAUUUUUUUAAUUUGACAGUUUCCCAACAGGAUGUUUGAGUAUAAAACCAGUUUUCAGUUCCUUCCCAAAAAUGAUGUCAACCACUGUGUAGUUGUAUCUGCCUGACCCUUGCGUGUCUAAAAAAGUAUGUUCUUAUUUAAAGGGGUGAGGGUGGAAGAUUAUAGAGCUAACAUUUUUCUAAAAUGCUGAGUCAUAAUUGAAACCAUACAAAUAAAAGAGGUAGAAUGCUUGGAUUCCAACAUUUUUAACCCUGAGGAUACUUCAAUGUCCAUGAUCCAUAUUACUGUGAAGAUAAUGCACAAAAAAGAAAACUGAUGAUUAAAAUUGAACAUGAUACAACGUAUCAUUGACUAAAAACUAACAUAAGAGAAAAAUAUUCUCAAAAACAUUUGGGUAUCCACAGUUUGACCCAGGAAAGUUGACUGGGUAGAUAUAAUGGUCCAUAUAGAAAAUUUAUAGAAGCAGAAUCUGUAAAUUAUGAUGUGAAAAAGUCAGAUAAUUUUUAUUUAAAUAUAGUGAUCAUGAUAACAAUAAUUCAGUUGAAUUAAAAAUUAGAACAGAUUAACUUGAAUUUGUUAUGUUCUAUAAAAUAUAAAUAAUGGAGUUAAAAUGUCAUAUAUGAGUU